UGCCCAGCAACUCCUAUCCCUACCUCCUCGCGGUACCGGCCGGAAACUAUGAGCAAUAUAAGGGAAGAUCGGGUAACCAACCCCGGUGGGAUCUUUUGUCAUAGGCUGACAGGGAAGG
rnacentral:ribozyme from 1 species